GAUGAACGCUGGCGGCGUGCUUAACACAUGCAAGUCGAACGGAAAGGCCCAAGCUUGCUCGGGUACUCGAGUGGCGAACGGGUGAGUAACACGUGGGUGAUCUGCCCUGCACUUCGGGAUAAGCCUGGGAAACUGGGUCUAAUACCGGAUAGGACCACAUUUUGGAUGGUGUGGUGGAAAGUUUUUCGGUGUGGGAUGAGCUCGCGGCCUAUCAGCUUGUUGGUGGGGUAAUGGCCUACCAAGGCGUCGACGGGUAGCCGGCCUGAGAGGGUGUACGGCCACAUUGGGACUGAGAUACGGCCCAGACUCCUACGGGAGGCAGCAGUGGGGAAUAUUGCACAAUGGGCGCAAGCCUGAUGCAGCGACGCCGCGUGGGGGAUGACGGCCUUCGGGUUGUAAACUCCUUUCGCUAGGGACGAAGCGUUAUGUGACGGUACCUGGAGAAGAAGCACCGGCUAACUACGUG
rnacentral:rRNA from 1 species